rnacentral:rRNA from 1 species
GUGGGGAAUAUUGGACAAUGGGCGAAAGCCUGAUCCAGCCAUGCCGCGUGUGUGAAGAAGGUCUUCGGAUUGUAAAGCACUUUAAGUUGGGAGGAAGGGCAGUAAGUUAAUACCUUGCUGUUUUGACGUUACCGACAGAAUAAGCACCGGCUAACUACGUGCCAGCAGCCGCGGUAAUACGAAGGGUGCAAGCGUUAAUCGGAAUUACUGGGCGUAAAGCGCGCGUAGGUGGUUUUGUAAGUUGGAGGUGAAAUCCCCGGGCUCAACCUGGGAACUGCCUCCAAAACUGCAUGACUAGAGUACGGUAGAGGGUAGUGGAAUUUCCUGUGUAGCGGUGAAAUGCGUAGAUAUAGGAAGGAACACCAGUGGCGAAGGCGACUACCUGGACUGAUACUGACACUGAGGUGCGAAAGCGUGGGGAGCAAACAGGAUUAGAUACCCUUGUAGUCC